rnacentral:rRNA from 1 species
GACGAACGCUGGCGGCGUGCUUAACACAUGCAAGUCGAACGGUGAAGCGCCUUCCUUUUUGGUGGGUGUGGAUGAGUGGCGAACGGGUGAGUAACACGUGAGUAACCUGCCCCCUUCUUCUGGAUAACCGCAUGAAAGUGUGGCUAAUACGGGAUAUUCUGGGUCUGUCGCAUGAUGGGUCUGGGAAAGAUAUUGUUUCGGUGGGGGAUGGGCUCGCGGCCUAUCAGCUUGUUGGUGGGGUGGUGGCCUACCAAGGCGGUGACGGGUAGCCGGCCUGAGAGGGUGGACGGUCACACUGGGACUGAGACACGGCCCGGACUCCUACGGGAGGCAGCAGUGGGGAAUAGUGCACAAUGGGCGCAAGCCUGAUGCAGCGACGCCGCGUGAGGGAUGGAGGCCUGCGGGUUGUGAACCUCUUUCGCCAGUGAAGCAGGCCUGCCUCGUUUGUGGGUGGGUUGACGGUAGCUGGAUAAGAAGCGCCGGCUAACUACGUG